AAGUCAUGAUAUGGACAUUUCCAUAACAAGUCGUUCAAACACUCCUAUGCUUCAUGCAAAGGUUCUUCCUUACCUUGGGAAAAUUCACAGAUGGAAGUUCUCAUUAC